CGUUGAGACACGGGUUCCCGUACAAUCACCGAAGUUAAGCAAGUUCUAACCUGGUCAGUAUCUAGAUGGGUGACCGCUUAAGAAUACCAGGUGUUGCAAG